CCUACGGGAGGCAGCAGUGGGGAAUUUUGGACAAUGGGGGCAACCCUGAUCCAGCCAUGCCGCGUGUGUGAAGAAGGCCUUCGGGUUGUAAAGCACUUUCGGCCGGAACGAAAUCGCACGGGUGAAUAUCCCGCGUGGAUGACGGUACCGGAAGAAGAAGCACCGGCUAACUACGUGCCAGCAGCCGCGGUAAUACGUAGGGUGCGAGCGUUAAUCGGAAUUACUGGGCGUAAAGUGUGCGCAGGUGGCCGCGCAAGUCGAGUGUGAAAUCCCCGAGCUUAACUUGGGAAUUGCGCUCGAAACUACGUGGCUCGAGUGUGGCAGAGGAAGGUGGAAUUCCACGUGUAGCGGUGAAAUGCGUAGAGAUGUGGAGGAACACCGAUGGCGAAGGCAGCCUUCUGGGCCAACACUGACGCUCAUGCACGAAAGCGUGGGGAGCAAACAGGAUUAGAUACCCUGGUAGUCCACGCCCUAAACGAUGAUGACUAGUUGUUGGAGGAGUUAAAUCCUUUAGUAACGCAGCUAACGCGUGAAGUCAUCCGCCUGGGGAGUACGGUCGCAAGAUUAAAACUCAAAGGAAUUGACGG
rnacentral:rRNA from 1 species